GACAGAAAGGUGAGCAGACAGACAGACAGACAGACAGGUGAGCAGACAGACAGACAGACAGACAGACAGGUGAGCAGACAGACAGGUGAGCAGACAGACAGACAGACAGACAGGUGAGCAGACAGACAGACAGACAGGUGAGCAGACAGACAGGUGAGCAGACAGACAGACAGACAGACAGGUGAGCAGACAGACAGACAGACAGACAGACAGGUGAGUAGACAGACAGACAGGCAGAUAGACAGACAGGUGAGCAGACAGACAGACAGACAGACAGGUGA